rnacentral:rRNA from 1 species
CUUAGAGGAAGGAGAAGUCGUAACAAGGUUUCUGUAGGUGACCUGCGGAGGAUCAUU